rnacentral:tRNA from 1 species
GUUAAUAAGUUUAAACUUAUAUUUUGAAAAUAUAGAAAAAAAGAAUGAAAUUCUUUUAUUAACU